rnacentral:rRNA from 1 species
UACGUAGGGGGCUAGCGUUGUCCGGAAUCAUUGGGCGUAAAGAGCGUGUAGGCGGUCCGGUAAGUCCGCUGUGAAAGUCGGGGCUCAACCCUCGAAUGCCGGUGGAUACUGUCGGGCUAGAGUGCGGAAGAGGCGAGUGGAAUUCCUGGUGUAGCGGUGAAAUGCGCAGAUAUCAGGAGGAACACCUAUUGCGAAGGCAGCUCGCUGGGACGUAACUGACGCUGAGACGCGAAAGCGUGGGGAGCAAACAGG